rnacentral:tRNA from 1 species
ACCAUUUUGGCAGAAUUUUCAUUGCAAAAGACUUAGAAUCUUAAUAACCUUUU